AUUGAACGCUGGCGGCAUGCCUUACACAUGCAAGUCGAACGGCAGCACGGACGUCGGUCUGGUGGCGAGUGGCGAACGGGUGAGUAAUGUAUCGGAACGUACCUUUCAGUGGGGGAUAACGUAGCGAAAGAUACGCUAAUACCGCAUAUUCUGUGAGCAGGAAAGCAGGGGAUCGAAAGACCUUGCGCUGAUUGAGCGGCCGACGCCUGAUUAGCUAGUUGGUGGGGUAAAGGCCUACCAAGGCGACGAUCUGUAGCGGGUCUGAGAGGAUGAUUCGCCACACUCGUACAUCACCACGCUCCAGUCGCUGGCGACAGGCAGUCUCUUUAAUUUCCGGACACAGCGAGAACACUUCACCGCAUCUAGUCGCGUUAGUGAUAGACCACUCCGUGUUGUCAACCUCAUCCUGCCUGGAAGACGUACCGUAAAGGAAUUCACUGGUUGCAUGACGCUACCCGGUAUAAUAGCCCCGGCUAACUCCGUG
rnacentral:rRNA from 1 species